UCCACUGUGUGUGUGUGUGUGAGAGAGAGGGAGAGGGAGAGGGAGAGGGAGGGAGGGAGGCGUCUCCAAUGGCGGACGCCGCAGUGGAAUUCCUGCUGGAAAACCUCAAGCAGCUGCUGCUCUACCACGUCGAUUUAAUCAAAGGAACCAAGGAUCAAGUCGAGAAGCUGGAGAGGGAGCUGCGCUUCUUCAGAGCCUUCCUCAGAGACACCUCCAGGAAGAGUCGCAAGCACGGAGGCUUUCAAGAGCUCGUCCGCGAAAUACGCGACGUCGUCUACGAGGCGGAGGAUAUCAUCGACCGAUUUGUCACCGAUGCCGCCGUGCUCAAGUCUCAAAAUAGGUUCAGAAGAGUACUCAACAAUCCGGUGAGUCUCCUCGACACCGCUAGAAAAGUGGAGCAUAUAAGCGUCAGAGUGAGAGAAAUUUACGGAGACAAGAACAAACUCGAUUUGGCCACCGUUGAUGCAGGAGACAGAGAUAAUGACAAGCCUGAGGCUCCAGUGAUUAGAGAAGAUAAUGUGGUGGGUUUCGAAGAUGAGGCUUCAACGUUAAUUGGGUAUCUCCAUGAAAAGACAGAUGAGCUUGAUGUCAUCUCUGUCGUUGGUAUGCCUGGCCUUGGAAAGACGACGCUUGCCAUGAAGAUUUUCCGUGACAAAGCAAUCCAAUAUGAGUUCCCCACUCGCAUAUGGGUUUAUGUAUCUCAGGAGUUCACCAAGAAGGAUAUCUAUCUUACCAUUCUAAAAAAGGUAAUCAAUGCUACCACUGAAGACAUGCACCGGAAAAACGAUGAUGAGCUGGCUCAAAUGGUCUGCGAACAUCUGGAGAAAGGAAAAUUCUUGAUUGUGAUGGAUGACGUGUGGACCACUCAGGAUUGGGAUAAAAUCCAAGUAGCUUUACCUAAGAGCAAUGGUGCUGGUAAAGUCUUGAUCACUAGUCGUCACAGGGAAGUUGCUCAACAUGCUAAUCUACAAAGAACACCCCACGACUUGCGGUUCUUGAAUCAAGAAGAGAGUUGGUUGCUUCUCCAGUAUGAGGUUUUCGGAAAGCCUGACUGCCCAAAUGAAUUAGCUGUUCUUGGAAAGGAUAUUGCUGAGCAGUGCGGUGGGCUGCCCCUGGCUCUAGUUGUCAUAGGAGGCAUUCUUGUUAAAAAAAUCUGUACAACAGAUGAUAUGAGGGCAAAGAGAGACGCAUGGCAAAAAGUGUCGAAUAGUGUGAGGGCAUACCUAGAGGAAGACCAGGAGGGACGUAUGGAAAAGAUUAUUGGAUUGAGUUACGACAAAUUGCCUUAUGACAUGAAAGCCUGCUUUCUGUAUCUGGGAAUGUUCCCUGAAGACUUUGAGAUCCCAGUUUGGGCAUUAAUUCGUAUGUGGAUUGCAGAAGGAUUCAUUCGACGGAAGGAAGGACUCAGCCUGGAGGAAACUGCAGAAAACUAUUUGGAUGAACUUAUUAAUAGGAACUUGGUGAGAGCAGACAAGAGGAGGCCUGAUGGCAGAGUUAAAACGUGUCGAAUCCAUGACAUGUUGCAUGAUUUCUGCAAACGUGAAGCUGGAAGUGAAACAGAAAACUUCCUUCAAGAAAUAAAAGUAACUUCAGAAGGGAUUGAUCCUCCAGUUACAAGAGUUCCAAAUCUUCGUCGAAUUUGUGCGCACUCCAAUCCUGUGAAAUUUCUUUCUGAAACACCUACUGGUCCUCGUGUUCGCUCCUUCGUGUCCUUCACCAGAGAGGAGACCAGCUUGCCACUAGAAAACUCUUCGGCCAUUCCUGUAGCUUAUAAGCUGCUUAGAGUUUUAGAUGUCCAGCCUAUCAAAUUCGAAAAAAUCCCUCGCGACAUGUUCCAGUUGGUGCAUUUGAGAUAUGUUGCCCUUUCCUUCAAUUCAUCAAUUCUACCUGCACACUUUGCCAAGCUUUGGAACAUUGAAACUCUUAUUGUCAAUACGUCGUCUUCUACACUUGAUAUCAGAGCAGAAAUAUGGAAGAUGAGUCAGUUGAGGCAUCUAAAGACAAAUGCAUCGGCUAAUUUACUAAAGGUGGAAGAGAGUGGUAAAGAAGGCGAAAAGCUUCAAACACUGGGUACAAUUUCGCCUGAAAGUUGCACGGAAAAAGUUUUCGAAAGGGCUCGCAACUUGAAGAAAUUGGGCAUUCGUGGGCACCUAGCUUUACUCCUCGGCAGCAAGCCAGUCUCUUUUAAUAAUCUAGUGAGAUUGAGCAGUCUUGAAAAGCUGAAGCUUCUGAAUGACGUCUCUGGCAGUCCUGGUUUGGAGUCUAGACUGCAUAGCCUACCUUCUCCAUACCAAUUCCCUCCGAAUUUGAAGAGCCUGACUUUAUCGAAAACUUUCCUUGAUUGGGGUCAAAUGUAUAUACUCGGAUUGCUGGAGAACCUACGGGUGCUGAAGCUGAAAGAGAAAGCGUUCAUGGGGAGGGUCUGGGAGGCAAAAGAUGGAGGUUUCCGUAGUUUGGAAGUCUUGCACAUUGGACGUACGAAUUUAGCUAUUUGGGAGGCUUCAGACCAUCAUUAUCCCAGUCUUCGACGCCUUGAGCUGCAUAACUGUGAGGAACUUAAGGAAAUUCCACUCGGGCUGGCUAAUAUUCGAAACUUCCAAAUGUUGGACUUGUUCCGGAGUAAUCAUGAUGCAGUUGCCUGCGCCUAUAAGAUUCAUGAUGCCAAGGAGCUGAACAACAAACAGCAAGACAUCAAAGAUUGCAACUUCAACCUGUCGAUUUUCCCUCCUCCUCUUCGGAUUUAACUGGCUCGUUUUUGCUGGUCGCGAUCGAGCUUAGAAAAAUGUCUGAUCGAUCGAUGGGAAUCUCUUUGUUGGCCCGACUGGUGAACUCGAAUCCUUUUCUUUUCUUUUUAAUCAAGAUCUUUGAAGUGAUGCAUUUUUAUCCCUCCAGUUUCUAUUCCAAAUCUCCUGAAAUGUUGCAAUGUUGUUUGUAAUGCUAUUUGACUCAGGUUGUAUUUGGUGACGUGAGAAGAAAAUUGAGCAUAAACCAAAAUCAACUGGUAUUAGAUUCGACCGGGUGUUUACACAGUGCGCACUUUCGGGUAGCGGCUGCGGGUUCCCACGUCAUCCAAAAAAAAAAAAAACUUUCUUUUGGUGGAGCAAAA